UACGGAGGGUGCAAGCGUUAACCGGAAUUACUGGGCGUAAAGCGCGUGCAGGUGGUUUGAUAAGCGAGAUGUGAAAGCCCCGGGCUCAACCUGGGAACGGCAUUGCGAACUGUCAGGCUAGAGUAUGGUAGAGGAGUGUAGAAUUUCAUGUGUAGCGGUGAAAUGCGUAGAUAUAGGAAGGAACACCAGUGGCGAAGGCGGCACUCUGGACCAAUACUGACACUGAGGUGCGAAAGCGUGGGGAGCAAACAGG
rnacentral:misc_RNA from 1 species